rnacentral:rRNA from 1 species
GAUGAACGCUGGCGGCGUGCCUAAUACAUGCAAGUCGAGCGAACGGACGAGAAGCUUGCUUCUCUGAUGUUAGCGGCGGACGGGUGAGUAACACGUGGAUAACCUACCUAUAAGACUGGGAUAACUUCGGGAAACCGGAGCUAAUACCGGAUAAUUUUUUGAACCGCAUGGUUCAAAAGUGAAAGACGGUCUUGCUGUCACUUAUAGAUGGAUCCGCGCUGCAUUAGCUAGUUGGUAAGGUAACGGCUUACCAAGGCAACGAUGCAUAGCCGACCUGGGAGGGUGAUCGGCCACACUGGAACUGAGACACGGUCCAGACUCCUACGGGAGGCAGCAGUAGGGAAUCUUCCGCAAUGGGCGAAAGCCUGACGGAGCAACGCCGCGUGAGUGAUGAAGGUCUUCGGAUCGUAAAACUCUGUUAUUAGGGAAGAACAUAUGUGUAAGUAACUGUGCACAUCUUGACGGUACCUAAUCAGAAAGCCACGGCUAACUACGUG